rnacentral:sRNA from 1 species
UUCCGCAGACUAGAGUCUCCAGCGCCUAGUCGUUGGGUAUACGGCGCGAUGUACAGAGCCGCGACACGCGACACGCAACCAACAGCAGCAGCAGUAGCAGCAGCAAAAGUUGUGGCAGCAGCAACAGCAGCACUAGCAGCACUUGCAACACUUGCAACACUUGCAACAGCAGCAGCAACAGCAGCCGGAAGACCAAACGACCAUUGAGCCGCCCUUUUAAGCCGUUGCUCGCGACGCGAACCAAUUUGAAUUGAAAACCUAACAAAAUCUGAAUAUAAUACCAUCCCCUUUCUAACUUCAAACAACAAGCAAAAAGUCCUUCGGCCGAGCAACUUGCCUACUUUGAGGCGGAAGGAGCGACACGAAUCACACCCCUAAUACACCGCCAAAUGAGCUGGAAAUGUCCAAGUGGCCGGCGGCGAUGGUGGAUGGGCCAUCAAGGAAGCAGCAACAGCAGCGGCGGCAAAUAAGCCAAAUUAGCGGGAUCCCGGCCAGAAGCGGGCACAUCUCAAUCGCAUCCGAGGAACAAUGCCCUGAAAGAAAGCCAUUCAAAUCGCCCAAGUAAUCGGCAAAUAAUCGCGUAUUCGCUUCGUUUCGUUACGUUACGUUUCUUUCGGUUUGGGUUUCGGUUUCGGUUCCGCGAGUGCUACCACUUCCGUUUCCGCCUGCGUGUCGGUGUGUGUGUCUACAUCUACAUCUAAUCUGUAUCUGUAUCUAAAUCUGAAUCUGUAGCUGAAUCCGUAAUUGUAUCUGUGUGUGAGCAGUUGGCCAGAUACGUAUAUCAAUCUUGAUUUUUUGUUGUUUUUUUUUUCUACCCCCCGCCCACUUGCAAAGAUCGUUAAAGAGUUGGGAAACUAAACUAAAUGGAAGCGCAGAGCAUGCGAGUCAAGUCGGA